rnacentral:rRNA from 1 species
GACGAACGCUGGCGGCGCGCCUAACACAUGCAAGUCGAACGGAGCUGAGAGAAGCUUGCUUUUCUUAGCUUAGUGGCGAACGGGUGAGUAACGCGUGAGUAACCUGCCCUGGAGUGGGGGACAACAGUUGGAAACGACUGCUAAUACCGCAUAAGCCCACGAUCCGGCAUCGGAUUGAGGGAAAAGGAUUUAUUCGCUUCAGGAUGGACUCGCGUCCAAUUAGCUAGUUGGUGAGGUAACGGCCCACCAAGGCGACGAUUGGUAGCCGGACUGAGAGGUUGAACGGCCACAUUGGGACUGAGACACGGCCCAGACUCCUACGGGAGGCAGCAGUGGGGGAUAUUGCACAAUGGGGGAAACCCUGAUGCAGCGACGCCGCGUGGAGGAAGAAGGUUUUCGGAUUGUAAACUCCUGUCGUAAGGGACGAUAAUGACGGUACCUAACAAGAAAGCACCGGCUAACUACGUG